GCGACAGCAAGUGUAGGAGCGCUCUGAGUGCAUUCUUACUGUCGGCUCAGUUCGGCCGUCGCACGGCUACUGUUUCUACUGCACGCACAGAAACAUUACAUACAAGCGGAAAAAAAUAGUGCCUUGCUGUUUAUACCACCGCUGUACAGCAACAGAUGUUUUAAUGAAGUGCGCUGAAACCUUAAACUAAUAUAACAAGGUUGACAUCCAGAACUCCAUAAAACGUGUGCUUGAUUAUGAAGAGAGCUGUGGUGCUCUUUGUCUUCGCCGCCAGAGUCUUUCGCAAUUACGUAGGGGCAAGUCGAAUGACGCCCAGUUAUUGCCUGAAGCCGAAAGCACCGGGAAAAACCUGCGGCGGUGGGCCGUUUACCUCAUGGUACUUUGAUUCCGAGAGCCGUAACUGCAAGGCUUUCACAUUUGGGGGAUGCAAUGGUAACCUGAACAGGUUUUCUUCAGAACCACAAUGCCAACGCUGGUGCUUACGUGGAGCUGCAGAGAAACCAGUCUGCAGUCUGGCUGCAGAAAGAGGCCGUGGAAAUAGUGGAAUCUUCGCAUGGUCAUAUGACGCUAAAGCAGACCAAUGUCGUGUAUUUAUAUACAGUGCGUUAGGUGGAAAUUCGAACAACUUCGAAAGUUGCUAUCAGUGCAUGGAUCGAUGUAGUGGAAACAAUUACUACAAGUAUAUUGAUAUAUGCGAUGUUCUCAAUUAUCAAUUGAUGGUGCACUACUACGCUCGACUCCCGUUUGUCGUCGGCGUGCCUGGAUGGAAAAUAUGACGCUGUCGUAAAGAAAACAAGAGGAAGAUAAUUGACAAUAUGAAAACCAUAAUAAAAAUAUCGACUGUUGUCCAGAUUUCU
rnacentral:lncRNA from 1 species